GCCCUGGAGGACUAGUGGUUAGGCCCCAGCACUCUCACCGCUGUGGCCCAGGUUCUAUUCCUGGCCAGAGAA